UGCAAAUUAAGUGGAUAUUAAAAUAUAAAACAUAAAACUUAAAAACACAAAACUUGACUUUUUUUAAAAAGGAUACAAACAUAAAUUACAACACUCGAAAAAAAGUAUUUGCGUGAUGUGUCUGUUUUUAUAGUGAAAUUUUAUGUACAAUUGUGGUUUGGAUCCCCGUUGGCCGUGGAAACUUUUGGUUGAGAAAGGCACCUCUAAACAUUAUCCGAUCGGGCUAAAACUGUACAAAUUUAAGUUUUACACCAAAAAGAACAAUUUGAGACCAUGAGACUUUUUAUUUUCGAAUUGCGCAGUAAUCUUGCAUUAUAGCAGUGGCAGAAUGCUCAAAAUUUAAAGCGGUUCAGUCAGAUCGAAAAGAAUUCGAUAAGAAUCUGGAUCAAACACAGGGAAAACGCUCCGGACGACUUCGUCUUGGUUUUGUCUGAAAUCAUCAUUAAAUAUCAACGUUUACACUUACAAUGAGGUCCCUCGGUUCUCUUCUAUUAAGAGUAUAGUGGUCGUCAGCGACAAUAUUAAUCGCAUGACAAUGCAGCAGAAGCUAGAGCUGGAAGACCAUCGAUGGCACUAUCGAUAAUAUCGAUGGUUUUAUGUUUUUUCAAAGCAUCCAUGCUUUUCGAAAACAAUCGAUGGUUUCUUUGCACUGGUGUCACUAACACUUUGAUACAGAGAGAGCGAGAGAGAGACAUAUUAUAGAAAAGUAAUAACUAUGUAUUUGAGAAGAUUGGUGGUGUUGGAAGAGGUUGGAGAUGAAUAAAUACUUAAAAAACCCUUUAACAACUGUGGAUAACACGACUCCAAACCAAGGGCGUCGCCAGGCCAUCAGCCAGGGGGGGCAGAUAGUAGAAUUCACUCCCCCAACGAAUGGUACGAACUUAAAUCAGCAGUUUUGUCGACGAAAAAACUUGUAGAUGCAACUAACCACUGCGCUAGUAAUAUUGCGAACUCACUCAGCGCCGUUUUGAAUGAGUGGAACCUUUUAAAUAAGGCAGUAAAUAUUGUAACACACAACGACGCGUCUAUGAAAAAAGCGUGCGAAUUAAUGAAAAUGAAACAUUUACCAUGUGUCUCGCAUACUAUUAAUCUUUUAGUGCAAGAUCUCCUGAAAAUAGAUUCUAUAGUGCCCUUACUAGCAAAGUGUAACAGAAUCGUAUCGUUUUUAAAAUCGAGGUCAAUCGCAACAAAGAAACUUAAAAAAGCACAAACAUCUGAAUCACGCUAUGGACUUAUACAAGAAGUUCCAACACGUUGGAAUAGCGCUUACUAUAUUUGAUUCAAUGGAUUAUUUUAGUAAAUUCUGCCAGAACCGCCGCAAUGUGCCUUCCCCGAAGCUACCACUACCGUCACCGCCUUCCCAGCCGGCACGCUUACCUCAUUCGUUCGCUAUCGGCUUCGGAGUGACUAAUAGCUGACAGACGCCCGCCUUAUAUAGGCCCUGGCUGGACUUAGUGUGCCCGCCGUCUGCGUGGCAUUUGCCUAUAUAUGUGUGACCAGACUGCUUGGUCCAGUGUGACCCUCCGACCGUGCAUGGUGGCGCACGCGCUCAAAUAUUUAAAUUUGAAUCAUUCAUAUUCUUCAGUUAGUUCUAUUCUUAACUUCAUAUUUCUUAUUUAUAUUCAUAUUUAAUUCAUUAUUGGUAGCUUAAUUCUACUCUUCCUCAUAAUACAUCUUAAUAUAUUAAUGUGCGCGAUACGCGUCACAAACCUAAAUAUGACCUUCAUCUUACAUAUUAUUAAUUUUAUUAAUUAUUAUCAAUUUUGUAUCGAUAUAUAUAUUUUGUAUAUGCGUGAUUUAGUUGUUAUUUAUCAUUAUCUAUUGUCGUUCUGCUUUUAUUCAGCUGUUACUUCCAUUGCUGUUCUGCUGUCGUUAUUCCUGCUGCUCUGUCUUAAUUCUGCUGAUCUACUAUAACUGUUUCUCUUGCGCCUUCUUGCUCGAACUUGCUAUAUGAAUGUUAAAUACAAGGAUUUCUAGGCUGACAUUCCAGGGUAUUUGACUGUACACAGCAAGUAACUUAUUAAUUACUUAUUAAAAUACUUACGAAAUAGGUAGGUAUUAAGAUUCUUACUUAGAUUACUAGAAGAAUAUUAAGAAAUAGACCAAGAGAGAAUGCUGUAGUCGAGUUGCCCGACUAUCAGAUACUCAGCUAGUGUGGAUGCGAACGCGAAAUUUCAUAGUUUUUCUUGGAUAUCGAUAGAUAAAAUGAGAAAAAAUUUUAAAAUUGUUCCAAAGUGUCGGCGUGACCGGUUCGGUUUAAGGGCGUUAGAGUGGGCGUGGAAAAUUUUUUUUGGCAAAUCGAAAAAAAUGUUCAAGACUUCAAGAUUUACUAGACUAUUGUGAAUAUUCUAGCGUCUUUGCAUUAGGGGUCAUGCAAGCCAUGUGCCAUUAACCAAGUUAGGCCGAAUAUUGAUAUGUAUAUAUAGGCCGGAUAAACUUGUAAUGCCCUAUAUUGACUAUAUAUGAUGAGAAAUGUAUAAUAAUUAGUUAAUAUAAAAAAUAGUACGUAGGAUGAAACAUAUCAUAUAAACCUUCUCAGAAUUGUAAUACACCCUUAAGAAGAGUGCGAAAAGUUCCGGAAAGCUUUGGAAAGUGUCGGUGAAUCGGCUGAAGGAUUUCCCAAACGCUUUUCGGUAGAAAUAUAUGGAUUCGUUUCAGAACAUUAAGGUUUUGAGAAAAAUUGUCUCGUGUUCAGAUAUUUGAUAUAUCCAUUGGAAACGUAAAAUAAAAGAAAAGUUACAAUAAGUUUACGUAAAUCAUUUGAUUUCAGGCGCCGUUAUUUUUCAAAGCGAAAACUUUUUAUUCCCGUUACUCGUAGAGUGAAAGGGUAUACUAGAUUCAAUGAAAAGUAUGUAUCAGGCAGAAGGAUGCGUUUCCGACAUAUAUAUAUAAUGUAUAUACACACAUUCUUUAUUAGGCCAUGUCCGUGUGUCCGUAUGAACGUCGAGAUCGCAGGAACUAUAAAAGCUAGAAAGUUGAGAUUCAGCAUACAGAUUCUAGAGACAUAAACGCAGCGAAAGUUUCGUGACCUGUUUUGGGCGGUUAGAAUGGACGUGGGGAGGUCACUAUAAUCUGCAAACUUAAACUGAAAUAUCUAGAUUUUAAUGUUCCCGAGAUGUUGACGUUCAAAUAAAAGGACGGUUAGGGCGGUAAUCCUGAUGAAGAACACAUUUUUAUGCCUGUUACGCAUUUUUUAAUGAAUCUAGUAUAACUUUUAAGUCUACUAUUAUCAUUUAGAACACAAUUGUAAGUUGCAGCGAGAAUCUUCUAGCGGACAUUACAUAUUCUAUUAUAAUCAUUAACGAAUAACCUGAUUUUAUUGGUUUUUUGGCCAUUAAUAUUAAAUUAUUCGUCAAUAUAUUUAACAACCUCUACUAACCUCCGUGUAAUUAAAACUUAUUAAUAAGGUAUGCGAAUAAUGUCAUUGUCAGCCACAUAAUCAAUCUGACAAUUGCAAACAAACCUAAAUAUGCAGGAGUCGUAGCUAGUUCGACUUGGGUAGCGAUCUUGUUCAUGUACUUUAAAGGGUCUAAAAAGCUAGGUUUUAAGAUACAACUGAAUUCCGAUGUGAAAUAUAAAUAUUCACAUUACAUAACGCAAUUCAGACUUCUUCUGCAUAGGACCCUCUACCAACAAGCCGACAACAACAAACGUAUGAACAACUAUAAUCUGAUAUUAUGCUUACAAAUUGUUUAACCAUUGCUCCAAUUACACUGUGAGAGCUCUCAAAGGAGGCUUAAACACAUGAACUGCUGCUCAGUUGAGGUCAGCUGGAGCGACCCAGUAACUUAAUACCUUUCGCAUGCCAUCAAUUAAUCCUUCAAGUGCGCAAGUGAACACAUGCGAAGCUGGCUGUGAAACAGUUUGAUAUAUUUAUAAAUGCAAAUGCAUGCGGGAUUUGCUCAGUGGUGCAGAAGUAUUAAAUUAAUGCAUGCACAAGUUUAUGUUCCAUAAAAAGCACGCCUUGCUCAACGGGUUGUUCUGGGAAGCAAGCUUUCUCGGUGCCAAGUUGAAUAUUAAUUCAUGGUGUAACUAAUAUUUUGAUAUUAUAUCUUUUAAUACAUUUAAGAAAAUACAUUUUAAUUACCCCGUAUUUAAUGCAAAUUCUCUUACUGUUCCAUAUCUGGGCAAUGCCUUUAUCGAAAUUAGGAACACUUGCUGCCACAAGUCCUGCAAAGGCAUUUAUCCACACUUGCGUGCACUUUGUUGUUCCAGUUGCAAGCGUUAAAAUCGCGGCACAUUAACUCUGGUCGAGUCGCAACGAGGCUGCGGAAAAUGGUUAACUUUCGCCUGGCCUAACCCCAAUAGAAAACAACUAUUCAUUUAAUGACUUGAACUACAAUUUAAGCAAAACUGUGUAAAUAAAGCCAGGAGCAGGGCAGGAGGACGGAUAUUGCCACGGAAGUGAAAUCAGGGCAAAUGUCGCCGACAAGGACAUUGGGUGAGCAUGCACACGGCAUCGCCAACAUCCUCGUUUCCACUCCUCCGUUCGCCGAGCCAGCGGUGCAAUUCGCUCGUUGUUGGCACUUCCGACGGCUGCUGGGGUUAAUCUGCUUCAAUUAAGCUCAUUUAUUUGAAUUUAAUUGCUUUCCGCUCACCCCUCGACGGUUAAGAGGCCCCAUAACGCAGCGACUUCCUUUCGAUUUACCAGAGUUGCUUACCCUUUGCCUAACUUGAUUACACAUACUCGUUUUGGCCAGGAACCUGAUCCUGGGCUGAGUUCACCAGCCCCGAGUCCACCAAUAUUAUACUCUAAGUGCGUAGAAAUAGUCUAUUUAAGACAGCCAUUUAUUCAAAUAUUGAUAAUCAUAUUUAAUAAAAUUUAUUGUAAUUUAGCUGGGAUAUUUUAUGAUUAACACAUUAGUUUGAGUUAGUAUGCUGUACGAUAGAUUUUAUAUUAUAAUUGCUAACUCUUUAGAUUCAAAAUAAAAAGUUAACCGCAUAAGCAUCGAACAUUCGGUUCUCGUGUAAUUACUUUUCCCGGGUCCUUUCACCCGUUUUAAGCCAUCUCGAGCCAGUUCCCUGGUAAAUCCUUCUCCCCCGAGUUUCCGAGUGAUUUUCCGAGCGCUUAAAUCUCGGCGUGUGCCUGUGAAUGUGAGACACGUGCAGAGACGCCGGCAUUAGGGUGUACGUGUGUGUGUAAGCUCGUUCAUUUGUUUGCAGGACUCUUUUUUGUGCUCCUGCUCCUUGCUUUUUCCGGUCUGCAUAAUUACAGGGACGUGAGGGCUUUAAACUUCAUGCACUUGGCUGUGCAUGCGUGUGUGCGUUCUAAAAAAGAACUCUUUCACUAUCACUUUCAGGCA